rnacentral:rRNA from 1 species
UACGUAGGGUGCAAGCGUUAAUCGGAAUUACUGGGCGUAAAGCGUGCGCAGGCGGUGAUGUAAGACAGAUGUGAAAUCCCCGGGCUCAACCUGGGAACUGCAUUUGUGACUGCAUCGCUGGAGUGCGGCAGAGGGGGAUGGAAUUCCGCGUGUAGCAGUGAAAUGCGUAGAUAUGCGGAGGAACACCGAUGGCGAAGGCAGCCCCCUGGGCUAACACUGACGCUCAUGCACGAAAGCGUGGGGAGCAAACAGG